UGUUGGUUCUCCCGCAACGCUACUCUGUUUACCAGGUCAGGUCCGGAAGGAAGCAGCCAAGGCAGAUAACGCGUGUGCCGGGAUGUAGCUGGCAGGG
rnacentral:SRP_RNA from 1 species